GUAGGGAAUAUUGGACAAUGGGGGGAACCCUGAUCCAGCCAUGCUGCGUGUGUGAAGAAGGCCUUUUGGUUGUAAAGCACUUUAAGCGAGGAGGAGGCUACCGAGAUUAAUACUCUUGGAUAGUGGACGUUACUCGCAGAAUAAGCACCGGCUAACUCUGUGCCAGCAGCCGCGGUAAUACAGAGGGUGCAAGCGUUAAUCGGAUUUACUGGGCGUAAAGCGCGCGUAGGUGGCCAAUUAAGUCAAAUGUUAAAUCCCCGAGCUUAACUUGGGAAUUGCAUUCGCAACUGGUUGGCUAGAGUAUGGGAGAGGAUGGUAGAAUUCCAGGUGUAGCGGUGAAAUGCGUAGAGAUCUGGAGGAAUACCGAUGGCGAAGGCAGCCAUCUGGCCUAAUACUGACACUGAGGUGCGAAAGCAUGGGGAGCAAACAGGAUUAGAAACCCUGGUAGUCC
rnacentral:rRNA from 1 species